rnacentral:rRNA from 2 species
AGAGUUUGAUCAUGGCUCAGAUUGAACGCUGGCGGCAGGCCUAACACAUGCAAGUCGAGCGGUAGCACAGAGAGCUUGCUCUCGGGUGACGAGCGGCGGACGGGUGAGUAAUGUCUGGGAAACUGCCUGAUGGAGGGGGAUAACUACUGGAAACGGUAGCUAAUACCGCAUAACGUCGCAAGACCAAAGUGGGGGACCUUCGGGCCUCAUGCCAUCAGAUGUGCCCAGAUGGGAUUAGCUAGUAGGUGGGGUAACGGCUCACCUAGGCGACGAUCCCUAGCUGGUCUGAGAGGAUGACCAGCCACACUGGAACUGAGACACGGUCCAGACUCCUACGGGAGGCAGCAGUGGGGAAUAUUGCACAAUGGGCGCAAGCCUGAUGCAGCCAUGCCGCGUGUGUGAAGAAGGCCUUCGGGUUGUAAAGCACUUUCAGCGGGGAGGAAGGCGAUAAGGUUAAUAACCUUGUCGAUUGACGUUACCCGCAGAAGAAGCACCGGCUAACUCCGUGCCAGCAGCCGCGGUAAUACGGAGGGUGCAAGCGUUAAUCGGAAUUACUGGGCGUAAAGCGCACGCAGGCGGUCUGUCAAGUCGGAUGUGAAAUCCCCGGGCUCAACCUGGGAACUGCAUUCGAAACUGGCAGGCUAGAGUCUUGUAGAGGGGGGUAGAAUUCCAGGUGUAGCGGUGAAAUGCGUAGAGAUCUGGAGGAAUACCGGUGGCGAAGGCGGCCCCCUGGACAAAGACUGACGCUCAGGUGCGAAAGCGUGGGGAGCAAACAGGAUUAGAUACCCUGGUAGUCCACGCCGUAAACGAUGUCGAUUUGGAGGUUGUGCCCUUGAGGCGUGGCUUCCGGAGCUAACGCGUUAAAUCGACCGCCUGGGGAGUACGGCCGCAAGGUUAAAACUCAAAUGAAUUGACGGGGGCCCGCACAAGCGGUGGAGCAUGUGGUUUAAUUCGAUGCAACGCGAAGAACCUUACCUGGUCUUGACAUCCACAGAACUUUGCAGAGAUGGUUUGGUGCCUUCGGGAACUGUGAGACAGGUGCUGCAUGGCUGUCGUCAGCUCGUGUUGUGAAAUGUUGGGUUAAGUCCCGCAACGAGCGCAACCCUUAUCCUUUGUUGCCAGCGGUCCGGCCGGGAACUCAAAGGAGACUGCCAGUGAUAAACUGGAGGAAGGUGGGGAUGACGUCAAGUCAUCAUGGCCCUUACGACCAGGGCUACACACGUGCUACAAUGGCAUAUACAAAGAGAAGCGACCUCGCGAGAGCAAGCGGACCUCAUAAAGUAUGUCGUAGUCCGGAUUGGAGUCUGCAACUCGACUCCAUGAAGUCGGAAUCGCUAGUAAUCGUAGAUCAGAAUGCUACGGUGAAUACGUUCCCGGGCCUUGUACACACCGCCCGUCACACCAUGGGAGUGGGUUGCAAAAGAAGUAGGUAGCUUAACCUUCGGGAGGGCGCUUACCACUUUGUGAUUCAUGACUGGGGUGAAGUCGUAACAAGGUAACCGUAGGGGAACCUGCGGUUGGAUCACCU